rnacentral:rRNA from 1 species
CCUACGGGAGGCAGCAGUGGGGAAUAUUGCACAAUGGGGGAAACCCUGAUGCAGCGACGCCGCGUGAGUGAAGAAGUAUCUCGGUACGUAAAGCUCUAUCAGCAGGGAAGAAAAUGACGGUACCUGACUAAGAAGCCCCGGCUAACUACGUGCCAGCAGCCGCGGUAAUACGUAGGGGGCAAGCGUUAUCCGGAUUUACUGGGUGUAAAGGGAGCGUAGACGGCAGGACAAGUCUGGAGUGAAAUCCCGGGGCUUAACCCCGGAACUGCUUUGGAAACUGUGCGGCUGGAGUGCAGGGGAGGUAAGCGGAAUUCCUGGUGUAGCGGUGAAAUGCGUAGAUAUCAGGAGGAACACCGGCGGCGAAGGCGGCUUACUGGACUGUAACUGACGUUGAGGCUCGAAGGCGUGGGGAGCAAACAGGAUUAGAUACCCGUGUAGUC